rnacentral:rRNA from 1 species
UACGUAGGGGGCUAGCGUUGUCCGGAAUCAUUGGGCGUAAAGCGCGCGUAGGCGGCCCGGUAAGUCCGCUGUAAAAGUCCAGGCUCAACCCUGGAACGCCGGUGGAUACUGUCGGGCUAGAGUCCGGAAGAGGCGAGUGGAAUUCCUGGUGUAGCGGUGAAAUGCGCAGAUAUCAGGAAGAACACCAAUGGCGAAGGCAGCUCUCUGGGACGGUACUGACGCUGAGACGCGAAAGCGUGGGGAGCGAACAGG